AUUGAACGCUGGCGGCAUGCCUUACACAUGCAAGUCGAACGGCAGCACGGGAGCAAUCCUGGUGGCGAGUGGCGAACGGGUGAGUAAUAUAUCGGAACGUGCCCAGUCGUGGGGAUAACGUAGCGAAAGCUACGCUAAUACCGCAUACGAUCUAUGGAUGAAAGCGGGGGAUCGCAAGACCUCGCGCGAUUGGAGCGGCCGAUAUCAGAUUAGGUAGUUGGUGAGGUAAAGGCUCACCAAGCCAACGAUCUGUAGCUGGUCUGAGAGGACGACCAGCCACACUGGAACUGAGACACGGUCCAGACUCCUACGGGAGGCAGCAGUGGGGAAUUUUGGACAAUGGACGCAAGUCUGAUCCAGCCAUUCCGCGUGCAGGAUGAGGCCCUCGGGUUGUAACUGCUUUUGUACGGAACGAAACGGUGAGCUCUAAUACAGUUUG
rnacentral:rRNA from 1 species